rnacentral:lncRNA from 1 species
GUUUUAAAUGGUUUUUAGGGUUUAUAUGAUUUAUGGUUUCUUAAGGUUUAGGGCUUAGGGUUUUAGGUUUAGUAUUUAGGGUGUUCGGUUAGGGUUUAGGGUUCAGGGUUUGUGGUUUUUUUUGGUCUAGGGUUUUAUGUUAAGGGUUUUAUCUAGGUUUUUAGGGUUUAGGGCUUUGGAUUUUUUAGGUUUAGGAUUCUUAGGGUUUUAUGGGUUUAGUAUUACGGGC